rnacentral:sRNA from 1 species
UCUCCAUUGGUGUCUGCUUAGUGAUUUGC